rnacentral:rRNA from 1 species
UACCAGCACCCCGAGUGGUCGGGACGAUUAUUGGGCCUAAAGCAUCCGUAGCCGGUUUUACAAGUCCCCCGUUAAAUCCAGCUGCUUAACAGAUGGGCUGCGGAGGAUACUAUAAGACUAGGAGGCAGGAGAGGCAAGCGGUACUCAGUGGGUAGGGGUAAAAUCCGUUGAUCCAUUAAAGACCACCAGUGGCGAAGGCGGCUUGCCAGAAUGCGCUCGACGGUGAGGGAUGAAAGCUGGGGGAGCAAACCGG